rnacentral:lncRNA from 10 species
GAGCAGGGUUUGGUCAGCUGAAGAGUGGGAGUAACAGACACUGUUUCCAGGAAACAGCACAUUUAAAGAACUUAGGUCAAGAAUGAAUUCUACAAAUGUCAAGGAUGAAACAAAAGCUCAUGUAGUUGAUGUGUAAAGAGAUAUCCAAGUGGAGAUGCCAAAAUAUUCCUCUUUAAUGGCGUAUAAGUUACCUGUGGAGGAUGUCCACCCUCUAUCUCGGGCCUUUUUCAAGUUAGAGGCGAUGAAACAGACCUUCAACCUGGAGGAAUACAGCCUCUCUCAGGCUACCUUGGAGCAGGUAUUCUUAGAACUCUGUAAAGAGCAGGAGCUGGGAAAUGUUGAUGAUAAAAUUGAUACAACAGUUGAAUGGAAACUUCUCCCACAGGAAGACCCUUAAAAUGAAGAACCUCCUAACAUUCAAUUUUAGGUCCUACUACAUUGUUAGUUUCCAUAAUUCUACAAGAAUGUUUCCUUUUACUUCAGUUAACAAAAGAAAACAUUUAAUAAACAUUCAAUAAUGAUUACAGUUUUCAUUUUUAAAAAUUUAGGAUGAAGGAAACAAGGAAAUAUAGGGAAAAGUAGUAGACAAAAUUAACAAAAUCAGACAUGUUAUUCAUCCCCAACAUGGGUCUAUUUUGUGCUUAAAAAUAAUUUAAAAAUCAUACAAUAUUAGGUUGGUUAUCGGUUAUUAUCAAUAAAGCUAACACUGAGAACAUUUUACAAAUAAAAAUAUGAGGUUUUUAGCCUGAACUUCAAAUGUAUCAGCUAUUUUUAAACAUUAUUUACUCGGAUUCUAAUUUAAUGUGACAUUGACUAUAAGAAGGUCUGAUAAACUGAUGAAAUGGCACAGCAUAACAUUUAAUUAUAAUGACAUUCUGAUUAUAAAAUAAAUGCAUGUGAAUUUUAGUACAUAUUGAAGUUAUAUGGAAGAAGAUAGCCAUAAUCUGUAAGAAAGUACCGCAGUUAAUAUUUUCUUUAGCCAACUUAUAUUCAAUGUAUUUUUUAUGGAUCCUUUUUCAAAGGUAGUAUCAGUAGGCAUAGUCAUUUUCUGUAUCUUUUCACCUCACAGUUCAUGAACAUUUCCCAUGUCAUUAUAGCACUUUUGUGUUAUAUAAUUGCUGCAUUAAUGUUAUAGCUGUAUUGAUGUAAUACCAGAGUUGUUACGUUCGGGUUAUAUGCAAGUUUAUUUCUUAGAAAUAAAACUUUGAUGGACUUUUCUUAUGUUUUGUUCAUUAGAGUCUUAAGGUAAGUGGUUAAGAUAUCAACUGAUGGUUCUCUCUCUUCUGUAAGAUCCAUAUAACUUUAUUCUCUGACCUGUAAAAAAAAGUCACUAUCCAUCUGCUAUCAUUUGGAUAUUUGACCCUGUGAAUCUCAUGUUGAAACUUGAUUCCCAAUGUUGGAGGUGGGGCCCAGUGGGAGGUGUUUGGGUCAUAGGGAUGUAUCCCUCAUGAAUUGCUUGGUGCUGUCCUUGCAAUUAUGAGUGAGUGCUCACUCUGUUAGUUCCCAGGGGAACUGGUAGUUAAAAAGAGCCUGGCAUCUUCUCCCUCUCUCU